rnacentral:rRNA from 1 species
AUGUUCUUAUUCGGUGAUUCUCAUGAAGAUUUUAAUGGAGUUUCAAGUUCAUCAUUCUUCGUUCUUUUCUUCUCCGGUGGUUUCAAGUCAAGCUUUGUUGAUCAUACCCUUUCCUCAUGUCAAUGCUUUCUCAUGCCGGUGCAAUUCUUAAUCAUUCACUUCUCGUUAUUCAAUUGUUCUAGAGUGCUCAAGAUAUUUCGAAGAUUCAUGUUACGACACUGCUUUCGUUCAAACUCUUUCGAGAAUGUUAUAUCAUUUAAGCCUUUUAAUUCAACCGGUGCAAUCUCUCUUUUCAAAUAA